AUGUCAUUCCUUGCCCAAGGGCCUUUGCUUGUGGUAGUCUGGCCUCUCCUUUGUCUAGGCGGCUUUGGGGCAUGUCGCUGGCCUUCGGCCAUACAUGAUUGGUGUUGUUCUUGGUGCUUGCACGCACCAUGUUGCUCCCCUCUGGAUUGUGUCCAUCCACCCAUCAGUCCUCCUUCUACAACCUCGACGGCACUCAUUCUGGUUAUGUUGGGCUUGUGGACUCGUUGCUUGGUGAUGUCGUUUCUAUGCUCGCAGGUAAUGUUAGGUCAUGACUUCUGGUGGAUUUGUCCCUGUGAUGCUUGUGCCUCAGUUGUCGUCGUCUUCGUCAUCAUCGUCAUGGUAGUUGUGCCUGGGUUAUGUUGUAGCCGACCGUGCUCAGGCUCUCACGGUGGAUGGUUCUUGCUUUCAUGCAUUGUGCUUCACUUUUGUUCUAAUCUAGGAUGGGUUGGAUCUUCUUAUAGUUUUGGAUCGAUGAUUCAAGAGAGUCGAUGUGCAACUCUCCUACAUAUGGUUAGGAAAAAACUAUGA
rnacentral:rRNA from 1 species